CCUACGGGGGGCUGCAGUGGGGAAUAUUGGACAAUGGGCGAAAGCCUGAUCCAGCCAUGCCGCGUGUGUGAAGAAGGCCUUCGGGUUGUAAAGCACUUUCAGUGGGGAAGAAAGCCUUGGGGCUAAUACCCUCGAGGAAGGACAUCACCCACAGAAGAAGCACCGGCUAACUCCGUGCCAGCAGCCGCGGUAAUACGGAGGGUGCGAGCGUUAAUCGGAAUUACUGGGCGUAAAGCGCGCGUAGGCGGUCUGAUAAGCCGGUUGUGAAAGCCCCGGGCUCAACCUGGGAACGGCAUCCGGAACUGUCAGGCUAGAGUGCAGGAGAGGAAGGUAGAAUUCCCGGUGUAGCGGUGAAAUGCGUAGAGAUCGGGAGGAAUACCAGUGGCGAAGGCGGCCUUCUGGACUGACACUGACGCUGAGGUGCGAAAGCGUGGGUAGCAAACAGGAUUAGAUACCCGUAGC
rnacentral:rRNA from 1 species